AUUCAGGUAGCUUAACCAAAGCAUUGGUCUUGUAAGCCGAAGGCUGAGAUAUAACCAUCUCUCUGAAUA
rnacentral:tRNA from 1 species